GACGAACGCUGGCGGCGUGCUUAACACAUGCAAGUCGAACGGAAAGGCCCUGCUUUUGUGGGGUGCUCGAGUGGCGAACGGGUGAGUAACACGUGAGUAACCUGCCCUUGACUUUGGGAUAACUUCAGGAAACUGGGGCUAAUACCGGAUAGGAGCUCCUGCUGCAUGGUGGGGGUUGGAAAGUUUCGGCGGUUGGGGAUGGACUCGCGGCUUAUCAGCUUGUUGGUGGGGUAGUGGCUUACCAAGGCUUUGACGGGUAGCCGGACUGAGAGGGUGACCGGCCACAUUGGGACUGAGAUACGGCCCAGACUCCUACGGGAGGCAGAAGUGGGGAAUAUUGCACAAUGGGCGGAAGCCUGAUGCAGCAACGCCGCGUGCGGGAUGACGGCCUUCGGGUUGUAAACCGCUUUCGCCUGUGACGAAGCGUGAGUGACGGUAAUGGGUAAAGAAGCACCGGCUAACUACGUG
rnacentral:rRNA from 1 species